rnacentral:rRNA from 1 species
GGUUAAGCGACUAAGCGUACACGGUGGAUGCCCUGGCAGUCAGAGGCGAUGAAGGACGUGCUAAUCUGCGAUAAGCGUCGGUAAGGUGAUAUGAACCGUUAUAACCGGCGAUUUCCGAAUGGGGAAACCCAGUGUGAUUCGUCACACUAUCAUUAACUGAAUCCAUAGGUUAAUGAGGCGAACCGGGGGAACUGAAACAUCUAAGUACCCCGAGGAAAAGAAAUCAACCGAGAUUCCCCCAGUAGCGGCGAGCGAACGGGGAGCAGCCCAGAGCCUGAAUCAGUGUGUGUGUUAGUGGAAGCGUCUGGAAAGGCGCGCGAUACAGGGUGACAGCCCCGUACACAAAAAUGCACAUGCUGUGAGCUCGAUGAGUAGGGCGGGACACGUGGUAUCCUGUCUGAAUAUGGGGGGACCAUCCUCCAAGGCUAAAUACUCCUGACUGACCGAUAGUGAACCAGUACCGUGAGGGAAAGGCGAAAAGAACCCCGGCGAGGGGAGUGAAAAAGAACCUGAAACCGUGUACGUACAAGCAGUGGGAGCACGCUUAGGCGUGUGACUGCGUACCUUUUGUAUAAUGGGUCAGCGACUUAUAUUCUGUAGCAAGGUUAACCGAAUAGGGGAGCCGAAGGGAAACCGAGUCUUAACUGGGCGUUAAGUUGCAGGGUAUAGACCCGAAACCCGGUGAUCUAGCCAUGGGCAGGUUGAAGGUUGGGUAACACUAACUGGAGGACCGAACCGACUAAUGUUGAAAAAUUAGCGGAUGACUUGUGGCUGGGGGUGAAAGGCCAAUCAAACCGGGAGAUAGCUGGUUCUCCCCGAAAGCUAUUUAGGUAGCGCCUCGUGAAUUCAUCUCCGGGGGUAGAGCACUGUUUCGGCAAGGGGGUCAUCCCGACUUACCAACCCGAUGCAAACUGCGAAUACCGGAGAAUGUUAUCACGGGAGACACACGGCGGGUGCUAACGUCCGUCGUGAAGAGGGAAACAACCCAGACCGCCAGCUAAGGUCCCAAAGUCAUGGUUAAGUGGGAAACGAUGUGGGAAGGCCCAGACAGCCAGGAUGUUGGCUUAGAAGCAGCCAUCAUUUAAAGAAAGCGUAAUAGCUCACUGGUCGAGUCGGCCUGCGCGGAAGAUGUAACGGGGCUAAACCAUGCACCGAAGCUGCGGCAGCGACACUAUGUGUUGUUGGGUAGGGGAGCGUUCUGUAAGCCUGUGAAGGUGGCCUGUGAGGGUUGCUGGAGGUAUCAGAAGUGCGAAUGCUGACAUAAGUAACGAUAAAGCGGGUGAAAAGCCCGCUCGCCGGAAGACCAAGGGUUCCUGUCCAACGUUAAUCGGGGCAGGGUGAGUCGACCCCUAAGGCGAGGCCGAAAGGCGUAGUCGAUGGGAAACAGGUUAAUAUUCCUGUACUUGGUGUUACUGCGAAGGGGGGACGGAGAAGGCUAUGUUGGCCGGGCGACGGUUGUCCCGGUUUAAGCGUGUAGGCUGGUUUUCCAGGCAAAUCCGGAAAAUCAAGGCUGAGGCGUGAUGACGAGGCACUACGGUGCUGAAGCAACAAAUGCCCUGCUUCCAGGAAAAGCCUCUAAGCAUCAGGUAACAUCAAAUCGUACCCCAAACCGACACAGGUGGUCAGGUAGAGAAUACCAAGGCGCUUGAGAGAACUCGGGUGAAGGAACUAGGCAAAAUGGUGCCGUAACUUCGGGAGAAGGCACGCUGAUAUGUAGGUGAAGUCCCUCGCGGAUGGAGCUGAAAUCAGUCGAAGAUACCAGCUGGCUGCAACUGUUUAUUAAAAACACAGCACUGUGCAAACACGAAAGUGGACGUAUACGGUGUGACGCCUGCCCGGUGCCGGAAGGUUAAUUGAUGGGGUUAGCGCAAGCGAAGCUCUUGAUCGAAGCCCCGGUAAACGGCGGCCGUAACUAUAACGGUCCUAAGGUAGCGAAAUUCCUUGUCGGGUAAGUUCCGACCUGCACGAAUGGCGUAAUGAUGGCCAGGCUGUCUCCACCCGAGACUCAGUGAAAUUGAACUCGCUGUGAAGAUGCAGUGUACCCGCGGCAAGACGGAAAGACCCCGUGAACCUUUACUAUAGCUUGACACUGAACAUUGAGCCUUGAUGUGUAGGAUAGGUGGGAGGCUUUGAAGUGUGGACGCCAGUCUGCAUGGAGCCGACCUUGAAAUACCACCCUUUAAUGUUUGAUGUUCUAACGUGGACCCGUAAUCCGGGUUGCGGACAGUGUCUGGUGGGUAGUUUGACUGGGGCGGUCUCCUCCUAAAGAGUAACGGAGGAGCACGAAGGUUGGCUAAUCCUGGUCGGACAUCAGGAGGUUAGUGCAAUGGCAUAAGCCAGCUUGACUGCGAGCGUGACGGCGCGAGCAGGUGCGAAAGCAGGUCAUAGUGAUCCGGUGGUUCUGAAUGGAAGGGCCAUCGCUCAACGGAUAAAAGGUACUCCGGGGAUAACAGGCUGAUACCGCCCAAGAGUUCAUAUCGACGGCGGUGUUUGGCACCUCGAUGUCGGCUCAUCACAUCCUGGGGCUGAAGUAGGUCCCAAGGGUAUGGCUGUUCGCCAUUUAAAGUGGUACGCGAGCUGGGUUUAGAACGUCGUGAGACAGUUCGGUCCCUAUCUGCCGUGGGCGCUGGAGAAUUGAGGGGGGCUGCUCCUAGUACGAGAGGACCGGAGUGGACGCAUCACUGGUGUUCGGGUUGUCAUGCCAAUGGCACUGCCCGGUAGCUAAAUGCGGAAGAGAUAAGUGCUGAAAGCAUCUAAGCACGAAACUUGCCCCGAGAUGAGUUCUCCCUGACUCCUUGAGAGUCCUGAAGGAACGUUGAAGACGACGACGUUGAUAGGCCGGGUGUGUAAGCGCAGCGAUGCGUUGAGCUAACCGGUACUAAUGAACCGUGAGGCUUAACCUU